UGGGGAAUUUUGGACAAUGGGCGCAAGCCUGAUCCAGCCAUGCCGCGUGCGGGAAGAAGGUCUUCGGGUUGUAAACCGCUUUUGUCAGGGAAGAAAUCUUCUGAGUUAAUACCUCGGGAGGAUGACGGUACCUGAAGAAUAAGCACCGGCUAACUACGUGCCAGCAGCCGCGGUAAUACGUAGGGUGCAAGCGUUAAUCGGAAUUACUGGGCGUAAAGCGUGCGCAGGCGGUUUUGUAAGACAGAGGUGAAAUCCCCGGGCUCAACCUGGGAACUGCCUUUGUGACUGCAAGGCUUGAGUGCGGCAGAGGGGGAUGGAAUUCCGCGUGUAGCAGUGAAAUGCGUAGAUAUGCGGAGGAACACCGAUGGCGAAGGCAAUCCCCUGGGCCUGCACUGACGCUCAUGCACGAAAGCGUGGGGAGCAAACAGGAUUAGAUACCCCUGGUAGUCCACGCCCUAAACGAUGUCAACUGGUUGUUGGGAAGGUUCCUUCUCAGUAACGUAGCUAACGCGUGAAGUUGACCGCCUGGGGAGUACGGCCGCAAGGUUGAAACUCAAAGGAAUUGACGGGGUCAUAGCUGUUUCCUG
rnacentral:rRNA from 1 species